rnacentral:rRNA from 1 species
UACGUAGGUGGCAAGCGUUGUCCGGAUUUAUUGGGUUUUAAGGGUGCGUAGGCGGCCUUAUAAGUCAGUGCUGAAAUAUCCCGGCUUAACCGGGAGGGUGGCAUUGAUACUGUAGGGCUUGAGUGUAGUCGAGGUAGGCGGAAUUGACGGUGUAGCGGUGAAAUGCUUAGAUAUCGUCAAGAACACCGAUAGUGUAGACAGCUUACUAGGCUACAACUGACGCUGAGGCACGAAAGUGUGGGGAUCAAACAGG